AUGAACGCAUGCAUCCGGCCUUCGAGAAAAGCUUCCACCCCCUACUCCCCCGCAUCGACACCCUCCCUUGCAGCAUCACCUAAGAUACAUAGUGGGAGGAACCCAGCCUUCUUGGAGUUUAGCGAUUCUCGGCCGUCGGAUCUGGUUUUUGAUGCGUUCUCGGCCGUGCGAUCUGCCUCCUCGAUAACAACAACCGUCGGAUCAAAAAGAGGAACUGUAGAUCGAAACAACCUAGCCGCCUCCUCCCUCGCUCGUUCCUCAUCCCCUCCUCCCGCAGCCGCCUCCCUCCCUCACUCCCACUCACCGCCGAUCCCCAAUCCAGCGACGGCGACGACGGCGGCUGCGGCGGCUCCUGCACCCGCGUUCUCCCCCUCCCCCCCUCCAACACGUCUCUGCUUCUCCCACAGAGGAUGCGGAGGAGCCACCGUGGUCCGGCCUUCUCCCCGCCUGCGCCGCCGUCGCCGCCAACCAUCCUCCCCAUCCCGCCUCAACCAUCCUCCCCGUCUCGCCGCCGUCGCCGAGAUCGACGCCCAGGCGGGCAAGAAGCAACAGAAGACCACCGGAGAAGAAGGCAAAGGCGGAGGAGAAGCCGGUGGAGAAGGACGAGGUGUGCGUGGAAUAGCCCGGCGCGAGGAGGAGGACGAGAUGGCUACCUUCGGGGAGCAGCAGAAGGAGUUGGGGCACGCGGCGGCGGUGGCGGCGGCCAAGAGGCGCAUAGCGCAGGCGACCAAGAAGGCCAGGAACGUGGCCGCCGGCGACAAGGAGCCCGAGUUCCUCGGCCAGCGCCCAUCCCUGCCGACGAGGCCCGCGCCAAGUGGCCGCAGCGCUACCAGCGUGGCUCGCCCAAGAGGUACGCCCCGGACCCAUCACCCAUCCGCCCCGCCCUGGCCCUUCUCCUUCCCGCUUGUCGAGGCCCGCCUCAAGUGGCCGCAGCCUUUCUCUCUCUCACACAACUGCUCCUUCCAUCUCCCGUGCCGCGACCGCGAUGUGGGAGCAAGGACGAGCCUUAUUCUGCAGAUGGAAGAUGGUGGCCUUGAGCUCCUGCCAGAUGCUGUCCAACGGUUUCCUCUCCGUGAGGAGUUCGCCGACAGUCUGGAACACCCAGAUUAA
rnacentral:rRNA from 1 species